AGCAGAGUUUAUAGCCAUGGUUUUGUUUUUGACGUUUGUUGCUCCUUCCUUCUGUAGUCUUUCAUCCACAUCUAUGUAGAACGUCCUGACAAUCUGCGAAGAGAAGGCUCUAAGAAACCCUAAUGAUGAAAAAUAUAGAUCCAUCCGGAUUGGAAACACAGCCUUUUCUACUAGACUCUUGCCUGUCAGAGGAGCUGUUGAAUGUUUAUUUGAAAUGGGCUUUGAAGAGGUUCCAUUUCAGGCCCUGAAGUAACAGUAGUGAACAAAGUAGUAGAUAUAAUCCCACCUCACAUAGAGCUUACAUUCUAGUAGGUUAAACAGCCAGUAGAUGUGAAAACAAGAUGAGUGCAAAGAAGAAAAUAAGACCAGGGAGAAACACAUCUCAUCUUUCCUAAAAAAGCUUCAGUGGAGCAGCUGCAAAAAAUUCGUGACCUGAUUGCCAUAGAGAGAAGUAGCAGACUGGAUGGCUCAAAUAAGAGCCACAAAGUAAAGUCAUCUCAGCAACCUGCAGCCAGUACCCAGCUUCCUACAACACCAUCUUCAAAUCCCAGU
rnacentral:lncRNA from 10 species